rfam:Cyanobacterium stanieri PCC 7202, complete genome.
GGGACUGUAACGGUUUCGACAGGUUAGUGAAAGCUGACCCGUGAUACAGGUCGAGAGCGAAUCUCCUCUCGUUAAUCAAAGAUUCAAAAAAAUAGUAACUGCGAACAACAUCGUUCCUUUUGCUCGUAAAGCCGCUCCUGUAGCUGCCUAAGACCAAAAAACUUGGUUCGAGCGCUUAUAGUGUGACUCCGUUAAGCAUUAUAGGCAACCCCCAACGGAUGCUCUCUGGUACUGUUUCUAGUCAGUUAUAGAGAAAAGAUAAUACUAGAAAAUCCUGCCAUCAGGGAUAAGUGAUGGUUCCCGCCCUGCGGAUCAAAAGGGCUAAACCUGUGAAUGAGCGAUAAGUAAAUAACUGAUCUGGACAGCAGUUCGACUCUGCUCAGUUCCAUUA